rnacentral:rRNA from 1 species
ACCGACCUCUGGCGGCAUGCCUAACACAUGCAAGUCGAACGAGACCUUCGGGUCUAGUGGCGCACGGGUGCGUAACGCGUGGGAACCUGCCCUUAGGUUCGGAAUAACUCCCCGAAAGGGGUGCUAAUACCGGAUAAUGUCUUCGGACCAAAGAUUUAUCGCCUUUGGAUGGGCCCGCGUUGGAUUAGCUAGUUGGUAGGGUAAAAGCCUACCAAGGCGACGAUCCAUAGCUGGUCUGAGAGGAUGAUCAGCCACACUGGGACUGAGACACGGCCCAGACUCCUACGGGAGGCAGCAGUGGGGAAUAUUGGACAAUGGGCGAAAGCCUGAUCCAGCAAUGCCGCGUGAGUGAUGAAGGCCUUAGGGUUGUAAAGCUCUUUUACCCGGGAUGAUAAUGACAGUACCGGGAGAAUAAGCUCCGGCUAACUCCGUG